GUGAGUACAGGACAAAUAAGGCUGUAGUGUGAUCUGCUUGCAACAGGCUUGGCUGAGUGACUCUGUCUUCAGGCAGCUCUGGGGCUCAAUGGGUAGGAUUACUUGUGCCUUUGGUUUAAAACAGCUGUCUGUGAACACCAUGGCUAUGAAAGAGGGUGAUGAUGUGGCCAUCCUGGUGUAUUCUGACUUGCUAAUUCCUCUGGAAGCAGUAGUGAAGGGUUUCUUGAGGAAGCAAGGAUGGGAGAGGUGAAGUAGAUGAUAAAUGGGCAAUUCACUGGGGAAAAAGUUAGAAUAGAAACCUGGGGAUGGGGAAAAGUGCCAGUUAUGGGAUACCAGAAUAAAACCCCUCCCAGAAUAUGGAUACCAGAACAAAAAUCCUCACAGAACAUGAAAAUGGCUUGAGCUUCAGGGAAACGGUCAAAGCUGAUUUGUUUUAGUGUGUGUGUACAGGAGGCCAAGGACUUAAAAGGAGUACCUACUGCAAGCGAGAAUAAUGGAGAGGUUCUUAAAAGAAAUGGGUUGAGAAAUACCCAUUAAGUAUUUAUAGACCUGACUUGAAAUGAUGAAACUGGAAUGUGUUCCAGCCGGUGAGCUGUUACAGGAAUACGCUGGGAAUGGUGGAAUGGGUGGUGAGGUGUGAUAUUAAAGCUACCAGUGCAUGGCCUAAAAUAAAAGUGAGCAUUGUCCUCUAGGCUUGAAAGCUCCAGCAAGGAGAGUGCUGUCUGGGGCUGGGCGCCUGCGAGCUGCAUCACGCUUUGGAAAGUUUUCAUUUUAGCUCAAGAAUGAAUUAAAAGGCAGCGGCCUUUCCUGCUCCGGCUGCUGCGCGAUGACAGCCAAGGUGAGCCUGUAAGGAUGCUGACUUCUGUUGGUAGUGGUUGGGUUAGGAAAUCUCGAGAGACCCGCCAAGCUGUGUUUGAGAUGUUGGCAGCCUGCAUCUCUCUGAGCAGGACACGGUCUUGGCUUGUCUGGUGAGAAGGUGCAACAUUGCUACUGGGGUGGUAAAGCUGGAGAAAUGGGGAUUCUCAGCUGAAUUUUAGCCCGUAACACAGGUAGAAAUAUGUUUUUAUUUCUUUUAAUAAGAUAGGGAAGUACAGAUACUUCAGAUUUGAAAUAUAAAAGGCAGAAGUGAGAAUUACUCCAGAAUGCCUGCUUCUGCUUGGAGAAGGAUGCUAAAGUGAUGCAUGCAUGAGUAUUUUCCAAUGCUAGAAUGAUACACAUUGUAAACAGCUACAAAACAGGUUGUUGUGUGCAUUGUGCUGGGUGCAUGGCUAAGGUAAAAGCUGGCAAACUUAAUUAUAAUGCUCGGAGAUAGGUUCUUGAUUGGCUGCGCUGCCUGAUUAAGCACAGAGCUUCCCUCUCCAACAGCAGCCGUUCUGCAGUGCAUAAAUUACCACCUGUCCACGACACUUUUUGGAGUAGGACCUGUGUUUAUAGCAUCUUCUAAUGGGUAAGGGAUUUGAGGAGCAGAUUAGUUUGACCUAGAGCAGGGAGAAAGCAUACUGAUAAUCUUCACGCUGAGAGUGGAGAGGCACUGGCACGUGUUGCCCAGAGCAGUGGUGGCUGCCCCAUCCCUGGAGGUGUUCAAGGUCAGGUUGGAUGGGACUUGGAGGAACCUGAUCCAGUGGGAGGUGUCCCUGUCCAUGGCAGGGGAUUGGAACUGGGUGUGCUUUGAGGUUCCUUCCAACCCAAACUAUUCUAUCAUAAACGAGGAGCUGCUUUCUGGUCUGAAUGCCCCUAUAGAAAGCAGGUGUCUAGAACAAUUAUUUGCUGCUGGAUGGACAGAGAACUUGAAAUUUUUGCAGUGGAUUGCAAGGGGGAUGUUUGGCUGUAGAAGUGCCACUUUAAAGGGUAGAUGGUUGGUGCAAGUCUUUUAAAAUGCUGAUCUUGCAGGAGCUAAGAAUUCCAGCAUCGACUGGAUUCUAGCAGUGGGGCCUGGAUUUUCAAAUGAUGAUUUUCGUAUUGUCUUAAACCUAGAAAAAAAAAUGGCCUUGUCUCCUUUUCAGAACCCUGAGCUGUUUGCGGCUUGUCCUGAUCCGAAGCUUAGAGUUGUCAAAUUCCUAUAAAUCCUAAUAAAAGACAACCCUGUACACACAUCUCUGCUCUUAAGUCUGACACUCUCAGGCGUUGAAGGUUUUUCUGGAGGUGCUGUGUUGAUAACCUUCCUCAUGUACAAGGAGUGGGUGUGAUGCUCUCACAUGGGACCUCUGGUGUCGAUGCAUAUUUUUAUAUGAGAAAUUAGAGGCAGAAAUAAGGUAACCCUAUCCCAGCAGCCUCGGGCAGUGAAGUCUCGCACAUCCUACGGUUGGUAAAAGGCAAAGAAAACUAGUGGGUGUUGAAGUAGUCAUGAGAGGCAGCUCUUUGGUGAAGAGCAAAAACUGGCAGGAGUUAGGGUGGAGGGAGAGCAGGGUCUGUAAAGUCUAACAGUUCUCCUAGGGCUCCAGCUUUACCGGGGAGAGCGAGAGAAGUGCAAAACCACAUGAAUUUGGGCAGCUUUGAAGAAUUCUGGCAGUCUUCUAUUUUUUUUCUCUUCUGAAUGAGAACAUAAAAAGAGCUGAAGGAGGAAGGUACAGUUCCUCCGCACAAGAGGGUUCUUGAGAUCCCCUAGUGGUUCCCCUGUGCACCCGUGAGGAGAGGGCAGCUGAUGAGAAGGACAGACCAUUGCUCACCCCUCCUAGAGGGUCCUAAGGAAGGAGGAGCUGCACUCUGAAGGAUUUGCCCCAGCUGGAAGGACAGACUUGCUCUUCAUACCUACUUCAGCAGCUUCAGAGUGUAAGUCUGUCAUCUUCCACUCUGUAGGUGCUUCCUCCAGUUCUCAGUCUAGGUUCUCUGCAGGCGUUCACUGGUGUCCUUGCUGGAAAUGUGACCUUGGAAAGCCAAAAUGGGAUCAUUUGGACACCCCCAGCACAGCUCCUGUGCCCCUGAUCCUCACACCCACCUCCCACUGUCAGAUGGCUUUGUUUGUGGCAUCUGAUAGAGCAUGUGAUUUAAAAACUUCCCAGGUCACCUUCGCAGUAUCUCAAAUGCAAUUGAUGGGGAAUCCAGGGAUGCAUUUUAAAGUAAAUUACAUGGAACUAAUAAACCAAUCUGCUUCUGAAGUGCUCUUGUGCCUUUGAAAACACUGACUAUCUGCUGGGGUUUUAAAGGGUAUUUUUAAUUCAUUCUAAUUGAAUUGACCUUAAAAAAAAAGAUAAAAGCAACAACCGAGCAACACAACCCCACCGCGGUGAUGUGGGUGUCUGCUUAGGAGAGUCUGGUUUUAAGCUGUGGCAGUCUGCUCGGACAGCCACCGUGGUUAAGGACACUGCAAUUACUCCCCAGCAAAAGCCUUUGCUGUGCCCCAGAAGCCUGCACCGCCUGCUGUGGUGUACAGGCUGUGCGGUCACGCGUGUGGCCAAGAGCAAGCACGGAAACGUCUCUUCCGAACCGCUUCUGGCAGUUGUCCCUUUUCUGGCUUGGGAGGAAAUUAAGCCCGUGGGAGUGUUGUUCUGGUCAGGGCAACCUGAUCUGCUGCUCUUUGUCUUCCUGCCUUUUAAAUCCAGCUAUGCUCUUAGCCUCCAUCAUUCAGUGAAGUCCAUGCUUGCUUUUGAGGUCCCUUGGGAUCAGGCAGAAUUCACAGCAAUAGCUUUGCGCUGUGGGCCGUGUUCCAAGUGUUUCUGACUGGGGGUUUAGAGAUCAUUAACGAAGUGCCUGUGUGCUGUCAGAUCACCUGGCAGUACAAAUUUGUCUACCUCAAGCAUGAUCCUGUCAUUGUAUUUGUCAGACGAGCUAGAACAGGCAGUCCCCGGCUCACGCUGCCUCCAUGGGGUUUGUGCCAGCUGUGGGAUAACAGAUGGUACCUGCUCUGGCAUAACCUCUUCGCUGCAAUCAGAUGAAGCUGGGGCUGAGGACAGAGGUUACCUGAUCUGGCAAAGAGCCUGCCAGGACAAAGUUGAUGUGCCAAUGCUUCUGGAAUGUGUUUGGACUGGCUCAGGGAUUUAUACAGGAUCAGCACUUCUGGCCUAUGUGCUUAGAGGGUGUUUUCAUCUUGUAUCAAAUGCCUCAGAGCUGAAAAAGUGAUUAAAAUGAUUAAAAAGAGGGUCUAGUAGUAGACAGGUACAGCUGGACUCGAUCUCAAAGGUCUUUCCCAACUGAAUGAUUCCAUGAUUCUAUGUCUCCAGUGCAGUCUGUCUCUGGCUGUUGUCUUGCAAGCCGGUUUUACUCCUGUUUUCUUGAAGCUGAGUAACGUGGAGAUGAGUGUUCUGUGCAGGUCUGGGUUUGGCCCCAGGGUUAUUCAGAUGACCCUUCUUUGUGCUACUGGUGGCUACCUUCUCAGCAUCCCUUCUGAGACGGGGAGAAGGAGGAAGGCUGUAAAGUUUCCUAGGCAAGGUAAAGGGGCAGAAGGGGUUCUGGACCCUCACUGGCACCCCUGCUGCUCCAGCAAGCGGCUGCGGGACUGCUGGGGGAAAGGUGAGGCAUCCUGCAGUCACAUUGAGGUUCCUAUCAGAUUUAUCUCUGAAAGAAGCAUGCUUUCCCCUGCUAAUUUCAAAUGUGUUUAAUUGCAGUGUACUUACAGCGCUGCUGCCUGUAGGCACUGGCAGAGAUGAUGUUCUGCCCUGUGGCUCUGAGGGUUUCUGUGCCAGCUGACUUUCCUAAUUGGCAGUGUUCGCUCUGCGCUGAUAUGGCAAGUCAUAAACUGGAUAACAAGUGUUCUGGGGGAGGGAAAACUGGCAAGAGGAUUCUGGCUCUACCUUGAUACAAAGCACUUCCCCAGGAAUGUGUUUAUCUGGUGUAUUCCCAUCUUGGGCAGGAGGUGCUCCUGUAUUUCUGUUGAAAUAGAGAUGCCCAGGAGGGCUUAAAAAUGCUGCAGAGGGACUUUCUUAGGCUACAAGAAGGUGUAGCAUCAUCUCUGUCAGCUGGCUUGCCUCAUCAGGACAAAAUAGAUAUGCAACUGUCUUAACUAUCCUGAAAGCCUGGGAACUUGCUGUGGGGGGACAGAAGAAGAAGAAAUGAGCAUCACAAAUAGUCUGGAGCUGGGCCAUGGGACAGAGAGCUUUGAAUUUUUAGGUGGGCUGAUGUUUGUAUGGUCUUGUGGCUGAAUGGGGAACCUCCUGAGGCUCAAUAUUAGGGAACUGAUGGGUAUUGAAUCGCACAGCACCCUGUCCUGUGCCACUCCCUGUUGCGAGCCUGGAUGUGGCCCAGCUGCAGCUCAUCUGCAUCAUCAACAGGUUGAUGUUCAGAGUGUCAGGUUUCUGCAGCCUGGGCUGCUCCUGAGCCCAUAAUCAAAUACAAUACCCAACCUAUCAAAUCAAGCAUCUCCCAUAAAAGAAUAGGCAGAGAGAGUUGGGGUUGUUCAGCCUGGAGAAGAGAAGGCUGUGGAGAGACCUUAGAGCAGCUUCCAGUGCUGAAAGGGGCUCCAGGAAAGCUGGGGAGGGGCUCUUCAUCUGACAGUGCAGGGAUAGGAUGAGAGGGAACUGUUUUCAGCCGAAAGAGGAGAUUGAGAUGAGACCUUAGGAAGGAGUAUUUUCCUCUGAGAGUGGUGAAGUCUUGGCCCAGGUUUCCCAGAGAAGCAGUGGCUGCUCCAUCCCUGGAGGUAUUCCAGGCCAGUUUGGAUGGGGUUUUGACCCCCCUGAUCCAGUGGGAGGUGUCCCUGCCCAUGGCAGGGGUUGGAACUGGGUGGGCUUUGAGGUCCUUUCCAAUCAUUCCAUGAUUCCAUGAAUACCGUUUGUGGAAACGGAGAGGAAAAAUGUUGCUGUUCAUUAACUGCAGGUGAAGGGAAGCUCAGGCUUGUGACGACCUGGUUGUGCAGGCGGUUUCCCAGCCUCUAAGCUUCUGAAAAGAGCUGAGUGGUUUGAAGUACUAUGAGCUUUGCCUAGUAUGAAUGUCAGGCAGGUAACAAGGUGCCUGGUGAUCUGAAUUUUAUCAGCAGACAGGAUGAAUGGAUAGGAAAUGAAUGCUGUUAGGCAGAGGCAUUUGUGUAUGAAGAAACCCGCCUGCUGUGGGGCGUAUUCUGUGCAGACGGUCAAAAGGUAUUGUGAAGAGAUUUCUUUUCUGGCUGUGUGGGCACUUCUUUAAAGCUUCCCAUGUUUGCUAUGGAAAUGUUACAUGGCACGAAGAGAAAGAGGUAGAGAAUAAGUGGGAGAUGCAUUCUUUUAAAAGAAAUAAGUGAUUCUAAAACUUAUCUCAAAAUGAGGAUUUCCAUAAUUAAGCAAUUUAGGGAAAGGAGGGUUUCUGAAUGCUUAUGCUUUGGGAAGACUUUGUGAUUAAAUCUAACUUAAAGGUAAUUUGCCCUAUCCCAAUUCAAAUUCCUUUGAAGAAGGGGUGGCUGUGCACUGACCCAGCAGAAGCAGAGCAGGAAGCCUUGUGCUUUGGGAUUAUCCGUGGGUUUUUUCAUGUUAUACUUAACAGCUGAAUGGUGCGCACUCUGGCACCCCGAGACCAGGGCUUGGACUCCCACAAACCUUCCAAGUACUGCUGAGAGGGUCUGGAGGCUGAAGGCUCUGUUUCUGCUCAACAAACUCCUUUAAGGCCUGAUAAAGCCUGACCAUAUUUCAUGUGCAGUUGUGCUGUGCUGUGCCCGCCUGUCUCUGCCUGCAUGGGGAGAGCUCAUGAGCGGCACUUUGCAAGAGCUGUCUCUCACACCUUUACCGCAGAAGUAGCUCAAGCCGGCUCCUGCUGGGGUUUGGAUUUUGGCUUGCCUGGCAAUGUGAUGAUCUCCCCGGCAGCAGGAGCGGGUUGGAUGCCUUUGCCAGGCACCCUCAGGGAGGACUUGUUCCACUAAGCCAUGCUGCUCACAUAGCUUUGGUGCUCAUUGCUUCUGGCCCAAGCUGGUUCAUGGCCAGCUUUGUACCUGUUUUGGUCUCACCCCAGCGCUGUCCUUUGGCAUGGACUGUGUUCUCCAUUCUCAGUGCUUACUGCCUCUAUGCCUCUGUGCUUCUGAAUAAUGGCCUGAUGCUCUCUGGGUGGUGAAACUUUGUUGUGCUCUGCGCUGGCAAUGACUCAACAUCAUCUCCUUGGUGUCUUAAGCAUGUGCCAAGAAACUUGCUCCCUGUUAACUCCUCUUAGUCCUCAGACUGAUCUGUGAAGGUCUCCGAUGUGUGCUAGGAGCAGUUUGAUAUGGCUGCUUUAAUGCCUGCUCCCAGCUCUUUCCGCCUUUAUAGGUUCUUCGUGCUGCCUUUUCCAGCAAAGGUAGGUAAUUCCAUGGGGUAUGGCCUUCCAGGUGCCUUCUGGAAGCAUAGCUGAGGCUCGCUACUCUCCUUUGUUUGGAGGCUCAGCACACCUAAAACCAGCCCUCGGGGCAGCCUCGCACAACCUGCCCUGGGGAAGCUCCCUGCAUGUUUCUCCUCUGCUUUCCCACAUUUCCAUCACAUCAACUGUUCUUUGAAACCUGCUCUGAAGUGUCACAGGGGGCUGACCUCAAUAUUCCUUCUCGUGCUGUCACAUGUGGGUAUUGCUCUAUGGGCAGGGCAGCAGAAAUUAGUGAUUUCUUUCUUUCUUUUUCUUUUUUUUUUUUUAAAUAACCAAACCACACGGAUUCUGUAAUCUGCUUUGGAAUCCGAUGAGCAGCAGAUGGCUCCAUGCUCUUUGCAGGCCCCCAUCCUCUCCAUCCCAACCAAUAACUACGUCAUGUUGUUCAACAAGCCGCGACAAAUAAUAUUUUAAUCCAACCUCGCUUCCCCCUUUUCCCACCCACCCCACUGUGGUUUGUUGGUUCACUCGGUAGCGUGCCAUACCGCAUUUCGUCCUGCCCUCCUCGGAGUGGAAACACAAGACCAGGCUUCAUUACAAGCUCUAUGGCUUCCCCCUACACUUAACAUACCAUACAAAUUGUUUGCUCAACUUUGGCAUCUUGCCUCAGAGGAAUUUUUGUCGUUUGAAGGUUUUAAAUCGGCUAUUUGAGCCACUCGCAAUUGUAAAUAACAGGCUAUUAGUUUAUAAGAGACAUGCUCGCUGGCAUUUCAAACCUCUCGGAGGAACCACUCUGUCUUGGAAGCUCUGUGAUGCCUGUGGAACUGAAUGCUGUUAAAAAGAAACCCCAAAACACUGCCCUGGGAAAUCUCAUUUAUAGAAAAUAAGUGAAACGAAUAGACGUUUUUAGCCACAUGUUACUCAUUUUCUUUUUAUUGCUUUAACAUGUCUUCACUGGAACACGUUCCCGUCGGAGGCUGCCGGUGCCAGCUGUACACCUGGCUGGAGCUGGAAAGAAACCCAGUUUGGCCUUUCAUCUGGGCUGUUUUCUGUUAUGAUUGGAACCCAGGAUUGGCUCCAGAUCAGACAAAGGAGCCAUCCAGAGCUGUGCGUUGGAGCAGAGGAAAGCCUGGCCAGUGAGGCAGCCACGCUGCUGCCUGGGAGUGGGAUCCCUUUCUGGCAAGUCCAAAGCCCCAAGCAAACUUUGUUGCAGUGACUGAAUUUCAUGUGAAAACACCGCAAAGUCGAACUUCUCACGAUCUUCACCCAACAAUAAAACCAGCAGCCUGACUUGGCUCACAAACCAACCCCUGUGCACCCCGUGAUGGAUAUAAACUGAGCCUGAAGUCCGGACUGAGAGCCAAAACCAAGAAAAUUCUGUAUGGUUUUAAGUUUAUUGUGAACAUUUCACCACGUUCUAACAUAUAGUUUCUUGUUCUGGUAACUGCUUAUUCGGUAUUUAAAUUGCAGCAAAGGAUACUCCCUCCGAUGCUGUAACGCAGUCUGCAAUCUUCCUCUUGCUUUAGACGCCUGCCAUGAGGUACCGCGCCGCAACGCCACGGCCCUCCCGGGGGAAAAGGUCAACCUGCUCCCAGAUGUUUUUGCAGCUGGAGGAACAAGGCCUUGUAAUGCUUAAGGAUAAAUUGGUUUCAAAGUAUUUUUGUAGUGCAUAAAAGAAUGUUUUAUACAGAGAGAGAACAAAUCAGGCAAGGAAAGGAUGUCAAAGUCUGCCAGGGAAUUGCUCAGGGAAUUUUUUUCAACUCUGAUUCUACCAGAGGAAAGUCUGAUCGUGAUCAUGGUGUUAAGUGCGAAGCAAACGGCUCGGAUUUACAAUGGGCACAGGCAGGGGGCUGAGGAGAGUGGCAUCCUCUGGGCACGAGAUGCCCUGUGCCUGCGGUACAGCCUGUGCAGCGCAGGGACUGAGAGCUUUGCCUGAUGUACGUGGAGUGAAGGCAUCCCUUCACUUCCCUGGGACAAUGUGAAUUACCUCAGGCGCCACUGUCUUCCUAGUGGAACAUUUUUAAAUGAAAAAACUUUUCUUAAAGUUGGUUGUCCACAGAAUUUGUGUUUCCUAGGGAGUUUGCUCAGCUAACCUGGGAGAAAGCAGUGCUCUUGAAUAAGCCUCUCUCUUGUCUCUCUUACCUGAAAUAUAAUUCCAGUUUCUAAAGUAAAACAACAAAAAAAACCAAGUUCUGAAUCAAUGUUUUGACUUGAAAUGUCAUUUUGUUUUUAAUUGAAGAACCAGAGUGAAAUGACAUUUUAAGUCAAAAUGUUAAUGUUUUGUUUAGACAUCUCCCAUGGGAAAAUUCAGAUGUUCCAUCAGAGCUGACAUUUGCCUGUGAAAGGAUCCCCAAACCCCAGGUUUUCUUCAAACGGGGGUGAGAAGUUUUUCCACGCUGGGCAUCUGAGCAGGCUCUGGCGAGGGGCGGGCAGGGUACCCUCAGGUGGGUCGUUAAUGCACGUGCUCCGGCCGCUCCUAAUAGCAGAGAAGGAGUGGAUUCUACGCUUGGUUGGUGGAGGUGAGCAGGUCACCAGGCUAAUGCUGUGCUAUUAAGCUGCUGCAUCUCUACGAAAUCCUUUGGCACUUGAGAUAAUGAGCUCUGCUAAUUCAGUGUGUUUUAUAUGCCCUUGCUUAGCUAGAGAGAUCAUGCCUCUCCUCCGCUCAUCAGGUGAAGCGGUCCAUCCCGAAACCUGUGGAUUUUGCUAAUUCUGAUUCAAGGAAACACUCAAUUACUGCAAAGUAAAGGUUUGCUUUGCUGGAGAGCUCCGUCUGCAGAAGCACCCACUUGUGCACCGGUGAGACUCCCCUCCUGCAGGGCUUCAGCCCGAAUUUGAGGUGAUUUCCAGGGAAGAAGGAGCAGAAAAUCAAACCCACUGAAGAGGAUGUCUCACCUGUGUCACCCGGCCUGUGAGAGGGAGAGGAGAGACAUAUGCAGGAGCUGCUCAAAGCACAACCUGGUGUGGGGAGAGCAUGGUGGUCUGUGCCAGGUCCAUGGUGUCCCAGCUGCAAGUGGUGGAUCCCCAGCUCCCAUGGAGUCUGAACCAGUGGACAUUCUACCUCCUUUUCCUCCCUGUUGGAUGGAUGAAGUGCAAAGUCAGGCAGGAAUUGCAGGACAGGAGCGUUACCCAAGAAGGCAAAAAGAGAUUUUGACAACGCAGAUCAUCUCAGUGGUAAGAUCAAUGAAUUGGAAACAAGGACGGGAAGAGAGGGAAGAAAUGCUCUUGGGGAAGGGGGUCUCCUGCAGGGUAAGAGUUGUGUGUGCCUCUGGCAAGCUUAGGGCUGGGCUGCUUUGAGUGCAGCUCAGAGCAGGGAAGGGCAAGGAUGAGACACAGACUGUGCUAAUGCCCACCUGCAUGAGCUGGUUCAACGCUGCAGUGCCAGAUCUCACUCCUUUAUGUUUAACACAAUGUGCUCCAGCGGCUGCAGUGCUGCCAGGGGCUGCUCCUCUGGCAUGAGCUGACAAACUGCUGCCCAGGGUCACCAGGGUUCUGGUGUGAGGGCAAAAUUCAAGCCAGCCAGAGCAUCUUUAAACUACCAACUCUGAGAGAUGUUUCAUAGAAUUAUAGAAUGGUUUGGGUUGGAAGGGACCUCAAAAUCAUCCAGUCCCACCCCUCUGCCAUGGGCAGGGACAUUUCCCACUGGAUCAGGUUGCUCAAAGCCCAGUCCAACCUGGUCUUGAACACCUCCAGGGAUGAAGGAGCCACAGCUUUGCUGUUUGCUCGCAGUACCUCUGUUUUGACAGAUGCUGUUCUGUUAUUGGUAUCAAAUCAAGCACAAAAUCCAACCCCAAAACAGAGCAAAAAAGGACCCUUCCCUGCUACCUCUUUUCUUUUUGGCCAAAUUUUAGAAAAGGAGUCUCUGAAGACACCAAGCAAUGCCUCCAGCAGCCACAGAAGCGGCUGACAAAUCUGUAAAGAAAAUAACUUUCAGAAAGCUUUGGUGUUUGCUUCUGCCUUGGCAGCGUCUGUGCCGUGGGAGCGUGCUGGAGGGAUGAGCUGGGGCUGCUGACAGAGAAUGGCCUUGAAAGCAAGAAAGGAUCUGGCCCUGAGAAACGGCACUGAGACAAGGAAUUGGGCAUCGCUUCAGGCCAUUCAGCCCCAUCUUCUGCACACAAAAAUGCUUGUAGCCUCUGAAUGAGAUUCCAGUUUGGAGCUAAACACCAUUUCCCAUACGUGCUUCCCAGCCUUGCCCUGGCUGUUCUUGUGCUGGGCCUUGGGCGCUUGGGUGCUUCCCGGCACAGUGGGAGGAUCACAGCCCUCUGCUCUUCCCAAGACAUGGGUUUUCCACUUCUUCUGUUUUUGUUUUGUGACAAUAAAAUCCCUGUGGUGAUGCAGAACUAUGCAAGCAAUCCCUGCUGCUAAAACCACACCAGUCCACAUAGCGUCCACCGCGAUGCAGGGAGAUGGGAUUGUACUUGGGCUUCAUUGUUUAGUUUUGAGGUGCUUGCAAAUCCUAACAUUGUCUCUAAUUAUUGCUCGAAACCAGACAAACAGCAUCUCCCGUGUUAAGGUGCUGGGCUCUGCAGCAGAACUGGCUGUGAUGAUGUGCGGCGCAUCCUCCCUGCCAGCAGGACCACAGCCCUGGAGGGGUGAUUAGAAGGAGGCUUUUGGAUUGUCAUUUUGCUCUUGUGGGUUGUCGGGCUGCUUUGUCUGUCCGUUUGCAUUCGCUGGGGUUUUCUCCCCUGUCCCCUUUCGGUGAGGCUGGGAGGAAAGAGGCGGCGUUGCUGUGACAGUGCCAAGGCUGAGCGCUGGCUCUGCUGAUCAAAGGUGGGAGCUGAGCAGUUGGUCCUUUUGGCUAUAGCACACGUCUCUUAAUUUCACUUGAAGGUCCCUGCGAGCACGCGCUCGCGCUGGCUGCCAGCAUGCGACCGUCACCUCGUAUUAAUAACGCAGCGGGGCUCGCCAGGUCUCCUCUCUGCGGGGAAGAUCGCAGCUCACACCUCCCGUGCGGAGCAUCCUCCCCUUCGCCUGGCGUUUCGGCUGGUGGAGGCCAGCAGGGCGAGCACGGGUGAAGGGCGAAGUUCACAGCUUGAGCUGGACAUUUCCCAUUACCCUGAGAAACCACAGACCUGUCUGUUCUUUAGUUUAAUUGCUGCUUUUCUGAAACACUUCAAAGAAUGUUUCUAACCACAGUAUGUGGCACAUAUUAUUAGAUUUGUUUUCGGAAUAUAAUGAUAAACUGUUGCCAUUAUGGAGGUAGACAUAAUUAUCUGAAAUCUAUUUUAAUCUAUUCUGCCUUUUAAAUAUUCUAUGUUCCCUUUUAAUAAGAGGUAGCAUCCACCCUUUGAUGUUAUAGCGGAGGUGUAGAAAGCUCUCCUCUCCUUGCUGCAAAUGUUAAUUGAAUAGCCUCCCUUUCUCUUCAUUAGCUGCAUUAGCUUGCAUUAACACCUUUUAAUAUCUCUUUAAAAUCUUGUUCAAUUUACUUUCUUUAAUCUUUUCCUUUCCCAGAGUGUUGCAUCACUUUGAUCCUCAUCUUCUUCUUUUCUUUGAUGACAACUUUGAGUUUAAUUUGUAUUUGAAUUGAAAUGGAAAUUUCCUAAUUCCCCAGAAUUCAGCCUCCGUUUUACACGGGUUUGGCAUCUGCGUGAGUGUUUGGGGCUGCCCGUGCAGGGAGAGGGAGCUGGGAGGGGGGGAACAGCGCAACCACAGAGAUUGCUGCCCUUGUUAGCUUCUCCCCUGACUUCUUUUCCCAGGCAAAGCUAUGCAGCAGAACUUGGGAAGCCCUUCAGCCACCUCGGCCUUGCUGAUGAACGGUGGAGGAUCCUGUUUGUUGAAAACUGUUCCCAGUGCUGAGUGUCGCUGUAUCCUGCUCUGGUCUCCAGGAGUGGAUGUGUUUGUUCUAGGCUGAACAACCCCAACUCUCUCAGCCUGUCCUCAUACGAGAGAUGCUCCAGCCUUGGGAUCACCUCUGUGGCCUCCUCUGGACUCGCUCCAACAGCUCCAUGUCCUUCCUGUACUGAGGGCUCCAGAACUGGAUGCAGGACUCCAGUGCUUAAUUGCUGGCUCUCUCCUUGCAAUCAGCACCUGUAGCACUCUGCAACAGAGCUCGUGAGUCACAAGCCACCCACGUCGAGUGUUUAUUAACCCACAGGGGAAAAGCACCAGGCUUUCCAAAAGCCACAUAGGAGGAGACUUACCCGGUCCCAGCCUCCACCCCUCCCAGCCCCACAUCAGAUGAGAAAACCACAGCAUCCGCUUCAGCGAGAACCAAGCGAGCGAUUUGGGAACAGGACUGUGCAAUAAAUGAGAACUUCGGUGGUUGAUGAGAAAGCAGAGCACCCUGUGUUCCCACCUCGUGCCUUCUCCAACUGCAGGCAGCUUUUGCAGGACAUCUUGAGGAUGAUUGCGGAGGUCAGGACUCAACUGGAAAGACCGCAGCGGGUUGCUGACUGGCAUCCACGGUCCAGAUAAGAUAAAAACAACUGAUGACAGCAGGGAAGUGAAACAGUCAUCUCAGCACUUGGAUUAGUGCCCAGCAAAGAGGAAGGGAAAAAAAAAACCCAUGGAGGGCCGGUGGGGAGGGGAAGGUGGUGGAAUACGUAUUAGAAUAGAAACUCUGGAAAAAGCUAUCAGGAGGCAGCAGAUUUGGGUGUUAAAUAUUUAUGAAUUAGCAGCACUUGUCGCGUUCUCGCUGAGCUGCGAGUUUCCAGGACGGGAAUGUGUGUGGCUGCAAAGCCGCCGUCGCUGCCGUCGCUGCCGCGGCACACAGUGUUGAGGGGAGCACAUGGUGUCGAGGUGGGCAGAGCAAAGGCGUGGAGGAGCAGGAGGCAAGGUGACUGGCUCUGGUAGCUGGCAGUGUUGAGGCUCACAGCAGUGCAGGAUAAACCCCGCAGAAGAGAAGGAAGGAUAAAUGAGGUGCCAUAAAAAUGACUACUAUUAUUCAGAGAAUUCUGCUGAAGAGCAUUGGAGUAAUUAAAUCAUAAUUGCUUAUUACUCAGCUGAAGUGACAUUGUAAGUGGCUGAAGGUCUGUGAUGAGGAAAGGAAGGGGGGGUCUCAGCUUUUCUGCUGUGCCCUCAGGUUUGCCUCCAUCCUGCUGUGGAUGUGUGCAACUCAUGGCAGCCAAGUAGAAAACCCAAGCCCUCAGUGAAGGUCGAAGGUCCCCCCUGAACCCAUAAAGCUUGUUUUCACCAUGACUUCCAAACAGAGAACCCUGUGAGUGCUGUGGCAGGUGCAGCAUCAUCAGUUGUUGUGGGACAGGGAGCUGGGAACAGCUUCAUCUUGCAGGGAAUAGUUUGGCAUUGUGCAUAGCCCAGAGGUUUGGAGUGGCUCCUUCCUAAAAAGCAAGGGCCCUGUGGCUGCGGUGGAAGCACAUCUUCAGCCCCAGCUGGCGACCGUGCAUGAGCUGUAAGUUUGGUGCUGCCUUCUCCAAGCAUUGGGGCUGCGGCAGCGCUGUUGGCUUUAAAUCUCUCUGCCCUGGCCUCGGCUGAUGUUUCCUCCCCAGAAAAGGGGUGGGUUCUCCUUCCAAAUGCUUCCAGUCCCCACCACACGAAGAGCUCCUGCCAGAUCCAUGAAGCCUCCAAGGAGAGAGGCAGCAUCCCAAACACCACGGCGAGGUUGGGGGAGAUCGGCUGAUAAAUGUUGAUGUAUUAAUGGCAGCCACAACAUUGUACUCCUAUCCAGAUCGGGAUAAACAGCAAAGCUGGCUCCAUGGUCCUUGUUUUGUGCAGCAAGCACCAGGACUCCCACUUCCUGGGAUUUUCCCAAGUUGUUCAUGAUUUCCCAGCCCUCUGAUAGCAGCGGGGGGCUAAAUCAAAGAAGAAAAUCCUCGCAGCCUGCCUUCCCGCUGUAAUGCCGAUGUUUGCUCGGUGCCAGGGAUGAUGCGCUGGAUGUGGCUUGCCCGUGAGCCAGCUAGCACUCCCGACCCUGGGGUGGCAGCUCUGACGCCGGAGGAGGACAGAGCCCUGCAAGCGCUGUGGGAGCUGCUGUGUGAGGAGUGAGUGCAGCACAUUGUCCCUCGAUUUUAUCCAUGUGUGUGGAAGGAAAGGAUGCAAGACCCUGGGCUCCUGCCAUGUGCAGCUCUUUCCAUCUGGGGUACUCAGCAAAAGCAGCCUGGGAGUGGAUAUGAAGAUUGUCCUGGUCACCCACCCUUGUCGUCUUCGGGAAAACAUGUCUUGGAGGGAUGCUGGCAUGGGAAGCCAUCAGCACUCUGCACCUCCCUGCCAAGGUCAAUCUUGGGCGCUGGCAGUCCAAUCGGAUGGCACGCUCCUAUCUGGGAUUCUUCACCACUGUGUCAGCACGAUUUCUUCAUCCCCUACAGACAGACAUGUCAUCGCCUGGAAGAGAGAGGGAGAAAUGGGAGAGGCUUGUUGCUGUCAGGAGCUGAAGAGCCCAAGUGGGCAGGAGAAGACGGGUGUCUGUGGGGAGGUGGAGGACCAGGAGAAGUCUGGGGAAGCCUGCUUCAGCUGUGGUUAUAGCCAGGACUGUGCAUGGGAAGGCAGCCAGAUCCAGACCUGAUACUGCCACGUGCAUCCCACCAGCACCUUCGCCUGGCAGUGAGUGAGGGAUGAGAGCAAGGAGGAGCUCAAGGCUGGGCCAAGUCCAGGAAAGGACUCCCUGAGAUGAGAUGCUGCUGGCAGAAUCUGGAACAAGCAGUGACAGGAUCUGUGCCUGCUCCAGCACAGGGGCUGCCCUGGGUGCUUUAGCAGCCCUUGAUGUCAGAGCAUGGUUUUCAAAGUUGAGAGAAAAUGCUCUCCCGAGUUGUGGUUCUUCGGAAAUAUUCCUGGGACAAUCUGGAAAGUCAUCGUGGGCUUCAAACCCAGAGCAGUGCCCAAGGCUCUGCACCUUUGCAAGGCAUCAGCCUCUGCCUGGGUUUUCCUGUGGGUUUCACCACCAACUCUCAUGGGAGCAGCAAAAUAAUGAGCGGCUUUUGUUAAACCUUCAGCUCCUGGAAUUGUGUUAGGUGAAAAUCCACUUCCUUAGAAGAGAGUUGGGUUUCGGCUUUCAUGGCCUGAAAAUAUGAACACGAGUCUCCCAAACUAAAUAAAAAUAAGACAAUAUAUAUUACAUUUUAAAAUCUUGUGACAUUUUGGGGACUGACUCAUGAUUUUCGAAUGUUUGGAACCAGUAAGGCUGCAAUCAAUUUCGCUGCUUCCUUGGCUGAUUACUUUCAGAGAGGUUUUAAUUCUACUAUAAAUACUUCAGCUUUACAACAGCAGUCUCAGUCAGAUAUGCAAUAAUACCCAGUUCUGCAUUUCAGGUAAGGCUUUAAACUAAAUUAAAUCUCCUCAGUGUAGCUAAUCAGAGAUUAGCUUUGAUCACAGUUUGUUAGCCCAGGCCAAUCCUAUUCAAAUCCUCUGGCAGACCUAAUAUCAAGAGUGCUUUGUCCUGUGCUUAUAACAGGAAGCCCCGUCCCCAGGGCAAGGCAGAGUAGCUUUUUCAUCUUCUACUUUUAGAUAUUUCUCUACAAGUGCUGAAAGAUGUUUCUGGUGUGGUCGAUGUCUCCUGCUGCUCUGGGACGGUUGGUGCUGGGCAUCCUGUGCAUGCGGCUGGGCAGGCGAGCGCUGGCUUUAGGUCUGAUCUCUGCCAGGUCCCAUCCCUUCCUCUGGGCUUUCCUUCCUCUCCCCAUCAUCCAAAAAGAGAGUGAAGAUUUGUAUUGGAAGUGGGAACAGGAGUUGGGGCAUUUUGCUAGAGGCCAGCAAGACAGAACCAAGAACAACACCAUGUUGAGAUCUUCAAGUUCAGAUUUAGUAACAACUACUGAAAAGGAGGUUGUAGCAAGGUGGAUGCUGGUUUUUUUCUCCCAAGUAAAAAGCAAUAGAACAAGAGGAAAAGGUCUCAGGUUGUGUCAGGGGAAGUUUAGACUGACUAUUAGAAAAGAUUUCUUCGCUAAAAGAGUGGUGAAGCCCUGGCAGAGGCUGCCCAGGGCAGAGGUGGAGUCUCCACUCCUGGAGGGGCUCAAAACAUGUGUGGAUGUAGUGCUUAGGGACAUGGUUUUGUAGGCACAGUGGUGGUUGGACUGGGUGAGCUUAGAGGUCUUUGCUGUUUGCUGCUUUCUGCUUUAGGUGUAUUUUAAAGCAAUGCAAAUGGUGUCAAGCACAAGGGGUGUAAUAGCAAAAUGAAAUCAAGGUAGGAUCUUGGUGCAACUGAAGUUACUUUCCAACAGCUCCCCUAGAUGACGAGGGUCCACAGAGUUGCUACGCUUGCUCCCUGCAGCCCAUAUCUGCAGUUACAUGCCUGGACAGGUAUGUGCAUGAGUGUCCUCUAACCACACGGUGCCCUGUCCUGCAGUGGGAGCAUUGCCGUGUCCUCUGUGCCAGCCAGAGCAGAUCCAGGGACAUCGGCCGGGCUCUUUCUGCCGAGGUGCAGCUGCAGAGGGUGCAGCGUAACAUAGGAAGAAUUGCUCUGAGCUCUUCCCCCCCUGCACCCAGUGCACAGCACUUGCGGCCCCACUGUAAUGAGUCGAACCAACCCUUUCGCCCACUUAGAAACGUCCUCCACUGUUAUUGUGCCUUUGUAUAAUUUAUAGCCCGGUAAGUGUCUGAGAUCACAAAUGCUGACAUUGAGCUUCCUCAGCUACUCAGCAGUAUUCUCGUUUGAAACAGUGCAGUGUGACUGCCGCUAUUGAUUUUAGGGGGUUGUGCGAUGGGUAAGAGUUCCUCUGAGCCAACUGGUAUAUUAAGCAAUCAUUUCUAUAGCAGAUGACAUAACUCCCCCGGCAUCAGUUUGCCCUAAUGGGCCUGGUAUUACUCAUGUGCUAAUUGAUUGGGCAUGGAGAGGAGAAAAGCUACAUUCGCUCGCGAGGUGAUUUUUAUGGCCAGGCUCGUAGCAGAGGUAAUUUGCUGAAAACAUUCAGUCUCUCUCUGGUUUCAUACCAUCAUCUGUGCUCCUGCACUCCAUCUCCGUGCUGUGCUUCAAUCAGCAAACCGGGCUCCGUUAGGGGCGUCUGAGGUAAAGUCCCCAGGGAGACACCAUGACAGAAUAUUUCUUCCUUCCCUGCCUUAUGUUAAAGCGUAUAAGGAGAUCGGGAGCAGCACAGAGAGACCUGCUGCUGGCUCUGCCCAGGGCGUCCUGAUGAUGUGGGACCUAGUGCUCAGUUUCCCAGCCCCAGGGUGGGUUGGGCUUCAGAACCAUUGUUUGAGUUGAAACACUCUGUUUUGAGCAAAACUAUUGAUUUCUGCAGCAGUCAGAGAGAGUUUCAUCUGCAAAAUGUUUUUGCCUGCAUUUCCUGCACAAAAAUCCCCAGGAAUGGGGAAAUCAAAACAAACCCUCCUCCUCUGCUGUAAGAGAACUGGCAGUUUAACAGCUCUGGGAAGGCAGUUAGAACCUUGACUUGACCUUUCCUCCCAAAAGCAGCCCCUUAAACACCCUAGACCUGUCCUGUGUCUCUUUCCGGGUGGUGCUCCCUGUGAUGGGAACCCCCUGUGGAGCGUGGAUGGGUGGGCAGCACCCAGCCCAGGGCAGAUGCUCUCAGGCAGUGAGGAAAAGGGUCUGACAGAUGAGGACUGGUGCCUUUGAAGGAGUCAGCUGCCUGCCUGAAAAAUCAAAACUGGAGCUUAGAGCAGCUUGGAAUAUCACUAGAUCUGGGAAGAGAUGUCAGAGACUGGUCUUCUUUAUCUCGCCAAUGACUGAUGGCUUUCUAAAGCUGACAAGGUGAGCGCGUGUAUGUGUAACGGCACGUAACAGCCAACUAACCUGAAAGUGCUGCGUUUUUCCCAGAGCUGGAAGAAAGCCAGUCAGUCCUGAGGGAAAAAACAAUAUCCAGAGGCUUUUCUGAAUCCCACUGCUGAGCCAGAUUAGACACACUGUAAAGUGUUAGGCAGUCCUUUGGUUGGGAUUGAGGCUGGGAGAAGAGUGUCAAGCUAUCCCCAGCUUGAACCAGUUGACCCCACUGUAAGCCCUGUGCUGGGAUGGGGAUGCACAAGCCUCCAAGGUCCCUUGAGACACCCUGACCUGGGACAGGGCUGCUCAAACCGGCCAAGAACCCUCAAGCUCUCCUGAGCUGGGACAAGGAUGCCCAAGCUAGCCAAGCCCCCCACCCUCACCAAGCCUUGUGCCAGGAAGAGGAUGCCCAUGCUGGUUGAGCUCCCUCUGUCCCCCUUGAUGCCCCUGAGCCUGGACAGGGCUGACCAAGCUGGCCAAGCCCCCUGAGUCCCCCUGAGAUGAGAUGGGUCUGCUUAAACCAGCCAAGCUUCUCCCAAGACUCUAAGCCAGGAUGGGGCUGCCCAAGACACUGAGUCCCCCUGAGCCUCAGGUCCAGCCCUGCAGAGGAUCCACGGCUCAUGGUGCAGCACCUCCUGCUCCAACCCUUCUCCUUGAAUCCCCUGGUUAAUUCCUCCAGGUCAUUCCUUUCUGCAUCCCUGCCUGCUGCAGGGUCUGGAUGCGGGUGCAGGGGCUGCCAUCUGUUUCUCUGGGGACCCCGGCACCGGCUGUGCAACCAGGUCUUUAUUUUUUCAGCCAGGACAUUUGCAUCCCGCUCUGGUUGCACUGCGAGCAUCCCCAGUCAUCAGGGAGAUGUUUGCUUUGGUGUGACCUUUGUAUCUGUGGAAGAGACUCCAGACAAGGUCAGCGUUAAUAAUAACAAGGCUCUUCUCCCGCGAUCGAUGCGGGCGCUCUCCCUUUUGCACUGUCUGCACAUCGUGGUCCCUCCAUCAGACAGUGUCACCAGCAGAAAUGACGUUAGAGACACACAGGCUCCAAACGCUGAGUCGACGGGAUGGUUUAGUGCUGCCAGCGCAGGAAUUUGCCUCACCUGUUGAUUCGUUCCAAACUAAUCCCUUCCUCCAAGUGGGCAAACAGUUUGGCUUGGCUGCCCUCGCCUGACUAAUCAGCAGAAUAUUGAAUGGAUCGAUAGCCUCGUGGCCAAACCCUUCAUGCUGCCAACGAGGCCGUGUGCUUACAGGGCCAUCGAUAUGCAGCUAUUUAAUUUGGGGUGAAUUGUGUAAUUCUGAUACCCUCUUGCACUGGUCACGGUAGGUUUUUUAGAGAUUUUGGAGUGUAUAAAACCUACUGUUCUUAAGGAGAUUUCCAAGAUAAAACUACCACCAGGAGGGAAAAGUGAGAAGGGAUGCGGUGCCUCUGGAUGUAGGCAUCAUUCAGGAGCUGCGCAUCCACAAUCUCUGUCAGAGCACGGUGGGUGUCACAAUGGAGCAACCCCCGUGCAAAAUGUCAUAAAACAGAACUUUUCCUUUUCUGGAAAGGAAAAUAUACUCAAAUUCAUUUUGGGUUGAUAAAAACAUUCCACUGCAAGUUUGACUUGAUGUUUAGUUACGCUUAUAAGAGGUAACAGUGACAACAGGCAACGACAAAACCUCAGAAGAUCAAACCGCAGCUUUUUAUAAGUGCUCCUUCAGUCAUUUUGCAGAUGACACUGAGCUGCAUAAAAGUGUCUGUCUGCUGGAGGGCAGGAAGGCUCUGCAGAGGAACCUGGACAGGCUGGAUCCGUAGGCUGAGGCCAACUGUAUGAGAUUCAACAAUGCCAAGUGCUGGGUCCUGCGCUUGGGUCACAACAACCCUGUACAACACUCCAGGCUUGGGAAAGAGCGGCUGGAAAGCUGCCUGGUGGAAAAAGGACCUGGUUGAUAGUGGCUGAACGUGAGCCAGCAGUGGCCCAGGUGGCCAAGAAGGCCAACAGCAUCCAGGCUUG